rnacentral:rRNA from 1 species
AUUGAACGCUGGCGGCAUGCCUUACACAUGCAAGUCGAACGGCAGCACGGGUGCUUGCACCUGGUGGCGAGUGGCGAACGGGUGAGUAAUACAUCGGAACAUGUCCUGUAGUGGGGGAUAGCCCGGCGAAAGCCGGAUUAAUACCGCAUACGAUCUACGGAUGAAAGCGGGGGACCUUCGGGCCUCGCGCUAUAGGGUUGGCCGAUGGCUGAUUAGCUAGUUGGUGGGGUAAAGGCCUACCAAGGCGACGAUCAGCAGCUGGUCUGAGAGGACGACCAGCCACACUGGGACUGAGACACGGCCCAGACUCCUACGGGAGGCAGCAGUGGGGAAUUUUGGACAAUGGGCGAAAGCCUGAUCCAGCGAUGCCGCGUGUGUGAAGAAGGCCUUCGGGUUGUAAAGCACUUUUGUCCGGAAAGAAAUCCUUGGCCCUAAUACGGUCGGGGGAUGACGGUACCGGAAGAAUAAGCACCGGCUAACUACGUG